UGUUCUAAGAGAAAUGAUAUAUGCGAAAUUGUGCGAUCUGAGGAUAAAAAUGCGGCGGUUCCCUUCGAGGGCGGAUGUUUAUCCCUGUGCGAAAAGAGAAAACCGGGUAACAUCUGCGUUCUGCCCAGGGAGAAGGGCAGCUGCUUGGACGGGGGUGUGAAGUGUACAUCCGGUCAUGCUACUAUUGUUGACAGUCCAUACACACCAUAUUCUCCGCUUUUUUUUUAUGAAAGUGAAUCGAAUAUUGAGCAUUUGAGUACCUUCUCAAGACGGCAGACAAUUGCUGAGCUCGGAUACCUCUCAAGCAAACAAGCUUUGUCAGAAGACACAACCUGGACCAGUGUAAUGUUCUGUUGUUGUUGUUUUUUGAGGAUGCACUCUUAUUGUUUACCUUGUACAAAUUGUAAAUAUAUUGGUGAAAUGUGU